GACCGCGUAGCUCAGUUGGCAGAGCAUUGGGCUAGUAUUCCAAAGGUCGUAGGUUCGAAUCCCACCGUGGUCU